GUAAGGAAUAUUGGACAAUGGACGCAAGUCUGAUCCAGCCAUGCCGCGUGAAGGAUUAAGGUCCUCUGGAUUGUAAACUUCUUUUAUAAGGGACGAAAAAAGGCUUUUCUAAGUCGUCUGACGGUACCUUAUGAAUAAGCACCGGCUAACUCCGUGCCAGCAGCCGCGGUAAUACGGAGGGUGCAAGCGUUAUCCGGAUUCACUGGGUUUAACGGGUGCGUAGGCGGGCAGGUAAGUCAGUGGUGAAAUCCUAGAGCUUAACUCUAGAACUGCCAUUGAUACUAUCUGUCUUGAAUAUUGUGGAGGUAAGCGGAAUAUGUCAUGUAGCGGUGAAAUGCUUAGAUAUGACAUAGAACACCUAUUGCGAAGGCAGCUUACUACGCAUAUAUUGACGCUGAGGCACGAAAGCGUGGGGAUCAAACAGGAUUAGAAACCCGGGUAGUCC
rnacentral:rRNA from 1 species